rnacentral:rRNA from 1 species
UAGGGAAUCUUCCACAAUGGACGCAAGUCUGAUGGAGCAACGCCGCGUGAGUGAAGAAGGGUUUCGGCUCGUAAAGCUCUGUUGUUAAAGAAGAGUGUGGGUAAGAGUAACUGUUUACCCAGUGACGGUAUUUAACCAGAAAGCCACGGCUAACUACGUGCCAG